UAAAGUUAGGAAAUCAGGCACAGAGGCAGCUGCUGGGGAAAGUAUCCAGUUACUCCCUGGCUGAAGGAAGGUGUGUUUGGAGACCAUGGGGAUAGGUAGCCCAUAGUUACUUUGGGGAGUGCUAGACUGUAAGGGAAGGGCUCAGGGAAAGGCAGUAAGGUUAACACUCCUUGACUGAUGACUAGAGGGUCCCUGAGCCAGAACCCAGAGUAGAGGGCAGGUCUAGGUUUCCCUGAGGAGUGAUAGCAAGGGCCAGUGAAAGGGGAGACUCACUCUGGUACCCUAGAAGGGGAAAACAUGUAGGGUGACUUGGCUGGAGGACUGAGUCAUGGAAAGAAGGCUGCAGCUUGAGGAGUGAGGAAGAGGUGAUAGACCCAGAAAGAAGAGGGAGGGGAGCAGAAAAACUGUGUGCAACUGCAGGAAGAGGUGUUGACCUGGUGAGCUAUUUCCCAGAGUGACCAGGAGGAGGCACCAUCCUAGAGGGGAUGGAUCUGCAGGCAUGCCUACUAUCUCAGUGUGACAGAUCCCCUGGCGUACUACUGAGCUCCCUGACCCACCAGCGUGGGCUCCCUUUAUGCUGUACUGCUGUGACCAGCCUGCCAAGCUUUCUCUCAGGCUUCAGCACACCUACAGGUUUCUUAGCUCUCGCUGAAAAGCCUGCAGAAAAGUGACUGGGGAAAUUCUUCAGGAACAUUAAGGAAAUCUGUAUUAGAAGACAAGUGCUUCCUGUACAAAGGAGCUCAUAAAUCUUUAAAAUAACAGGGUUUUUUUGUGUUCCCUGGCUGAAUUAGUUUUACCACCUACUACUUGGUAUUAAAUGACU